AUUGAACGCUGGCGGCAUGCUUUACACAUGCAAGUCGAACGGUAACAGGCCUUCGGGUGCUGACGAGUGGCGAACGGGUGAGUAAUGCAUCGGAACGUACCCAGAGGUGGUGGAUAACGCAGCGAAAGCUGUGCUAAUACCGCAUGUGAUCUGAGGAUGAAAGCGGUGGACCGAGCAGCAAUGUUUGGCCUCGCGCCUUUGGAGCGUCCGAUGUCGGAUUAGCUAGUUGGUGGGGUAAAGGCCUACCAAUGCGACGAUCCGUAGCUGGUCUGAGAGGACGACCAGCCACACUGGGACUGAGACACGGCCCAGACUCCUACGGGAGGCAGCAGUGGGGAAUUUUGGACAAUGGGCGCAAGCCUGAUCCAGCAAUGCAGCGUGAGGGAAGAAGGCCUUCGGGUUGUAAACCGCUUUUGGCAGGAACGAAACGGUGUCCGCUAAUACCGGGCGCUAAUGACGGUACCUGAAGAAUAAGCACCGGCUAACUACGUG
rnacentral:rRNA from 1 species